rnacentral:rRNA from 1 species
CAGUAGCCACGGUAACACGGAGGGCGCAAGCGUUAAUCGGGAUUACUGGGCGUAAAGCGUGCGUAGGCGGUUCGUUAAGUCUGUUGUGAAAGCCCCGGGCUUAACCUGGGAAUGGCAAUGGAUACUGGCGAGCUAGAGUGUGUCAGAGGAUGGUGGAAUUCCCGGUGUAGCGGUGAAAUGCGUAGAGAUCGGGAGGAACAUCAGUGGCGAAGGCGGCCAUCUGGGACAACACUGACGCUGAGGCACGAAAGCGUGGGGAGCAAACAGGAUUAGAUACCCGCGUAGUCCCUGUCUCUUAUAC